AGCGAGGAUAAAGGCUGGGCCACGUUCACUGACUUCCAACCUUUCUGCUGCUCGGACUCCGGGGCGCGCCUGCAGCUCUCCUGUGGACUCGGACAACUCGGAAAAACAGAGCCAAGAUAAAGAUGUGAGGGGCUCGGCGGCGUGUGUGUGGAGUGUGUGUGGAGCGAGGAAAGCUCCUCUGGUGGCGUCGGACAGCAGCUCCAGCGGCUCGGACAGCGAGGACGAGGAGGAGAAGAGCGAAGCUGCCGGCAACAGGGGAACGUUACAGUCACUACAGACGGCAAAAACGAGAAAACACUCCUUAACCGCGACGCGGACGCUAAAUCGCUGGGUUUCGUGGCCGAACCUCCUCCAGCGGCGGAGCAGAAAACGGACUGAAGGUGAACGCGGAAAACUCGAGCGUUAAUGGUCCGAUGAAACGCUCUCGGAGUGUCCUCCCGGUGUUUGUGACGUCAUCACUGCCCCGCCCACAACAAACAAACAAACAAACAUCCGUUUCCAUCGAGCGUGUAAAAGUUAUAAUUCAGGAUGGAAACACCGGAGUGUCUUUUUCUUUUCUUUCUCAGCUGUGAUUAGUAGAGACCCGGGCUGCGGCACUGAGGUGUAAUAAUGCGGAUUACUGCAGUUAUAAUGUAUAUAAACAUAAGAACAGCUGAAAUCUACAGUUAGUGUGGCUUUAUCUCACGGCUACACGGCUCUUUAGAACACGUUCACGCGCACUGCGUUGACUCCAGGAAGCGUAAAGCAGCACUGGAGACUCUAUGACCGGUUUAUGACGCGUCACCACGGAGACGUUAGAGUUUAUGGUUACAGUCCGGACAAAACUGUUGUAACUCUGAUUUUUAUACUUAUUUUGCAAGUUCUGAGCACAUUUAUGAAGCUUUACGUCAUUUUUCUAUAAACCAAGCCACGCCAUUCCUGUUCGUCCAGCCGAGGUACGAAACCGCGCAGAAGAAAUUCUCUGCAGAGACGAUUACAGAGGAGGCGGAG
ensembl:lncRNA